rnacentral:lncRNA from 1 species
AGCCCAGCAUUUUGUUUGAAAUUGGAUUUCUUGUCUUUCAGUCAGGCUAAAGCUGAUGUCUGGGCAGACGCAGCCCCAAGGUUUGCCGUGUUGAGAAGAGCCCUGCAGAGCAGAGAUCACCUGCAGCAGCCCAGGGGGCUGUGGGUGUGAUGCUGUGUUUGUGCUGUGUCACGAUCCUGCAGCAAGACCUUGUCUUUGUUACCCAGUGCUGGCUUCAGAUUCUGUAGCCACCUUAAGGCUACUACUACGAAGGUCUUUUCUGCCUAGAUGGAUUCUAUGGUUCUCUGCAUACUUUGAAUUGAUGAGGAGCGUGGCACAGAGAUGGGAUGCCCUUAGGGGAAGAGAAUUACCAUCAGUUCUCACCAUGGAAGACAUGAAUCAUCCUCACCUGCUUUUCCCCUCACUGGGAGGUAGGUGCUUCACGUUGCUGAGGGUUACAGGAGGCA